AGUCGGGAACUCAAAGGAGACUGCCAGUGAUAAACUGGAGGAAGGUGGGGAUGACGUCAAGUCAUCAUGGCCCUUACGAGUAGGGCUACACACGUGCUACAAUGGCGCAUACAAAGAGAAGCGACCUCGCGAGAGCAAGCGGACCUCAUAAAGUGCGUCGUAGUCCGGAUUGGAGUCUGCAACUCGACUCCAUGAAGUCGGAAUCGCUAGUAAUCGUAGAUCAGAAUGCUACGGUGAAUACGUUCCCGGGCCUUGUACACACCGCCCGUCACACCAUGGGAGUGGGUUGCAAAAGAAGUAGGUAGCUUAACCUUCGGGAGGGCGCUUACCACUUUGUGAUUCAUGACUGGGGUGAAGUCGUAACAAGGUAACCGUAGGGGAACCUGCGGUUGGAUCACCUCCUUACCUUAAAGAA
rnacentral:rRNA from 2 species